GUGAAGAGGAGCCAUUAUGAGGAGAUGGAGCCAUGGUAAGGAAAAGGGAACUAUUGUGAAGAGAGGGAGCCAUGGUGAAGAGGCGACAUUGUGAGGAGAUGGAGCCAUUGUGAGAAGAGGGAGCCAUGGUGAGGAGAGAGAGCUAUUGCAAGGAGAGGGUGCCAUGGCGAGGAGAGGGAACUCUUGCAAGGAGAGAGACUCAUGGUGAAGAGUAGCCAUUAUGAGGAGAUGGAGCCAUGGUAAAAAGAGGGAACUAUUGUGAGGAGAGGGAGCCAUGGUGAAGAGGAGCCAUUGUGAGAAGAGGGAGCCAUGGUGAGGAGAGAGAGCUAUUGCAAGGAGAGGCAGCCAUGGUGAGGAGAGAGAGCUAUUGCAAGGAGAGGCAGCCAUGGUGAGGAGAGAGAGCUAUUGCAAGGAGAGGGAGCCAUGGUGAGAGACAGAGCUUAUGUGAGAAGAGGGAGUCAUGGUGAGGAGAGAGAGCUAUUGUAAGGAGAGGGAGCCAUGAUGAGAGACAGAGCUUACGUGAGAAGAGGCAGCCAUGGUGAGGAGAGAGAGCUAUUGUAAGGAGAGGGAGCCAUGGUGAGGAGAGGGAACUAUUGUGAGGAGGAGCCAUUGUGAGGAGGAGGAGGUGGGUCCCUCACAGAGGGGACAUCUGUUGUGAGGGCUGGGAUCCACUAAGGGUAGAACAGAGGGGCACUGCCACCUGAGCAUCAUAACAGGGAUCACUCUGCUCCUGGUUCAGAAAGAGUGUGGAGAGUUGAGGGAGGAGCAGGGACGCUGCUCGGAAGGCUGUCACGGAACAGAGACUGCCCGGUGUGGUCGCCGCUGUGGUGGUGUCAAUUCAACUGGAUUAAAGAACACCUAGAAAACAAGUAAAGCAUUAUUUUGGGGUGUGUCUGUAAGGAAGAUCCCACAGGAGACUGGCUUGUGAGUCACUGGACUAAGUGGGCCAGAGCUACCCUCAAUGUGGGGCACCAUCUAAUCAACUAGGGACCCAAAUAGAACAAGAAGGCAGAGGAAAGGCAAAAUUGCUCUGUCUCUCUCCUGGAGCUGUGACACCCUUCUUCUCUUGCACUUGGACAUCAGACUCUGGAUUCUACAGCCUUUGGACUCCAGGACUUGCAACAGUGGCCCCCUGGGUUCUCAGGCCUUUGAACUUGGACACUCAAGCUACCAGUAUACUGGUUCUCCAGCUUGCCAACAGCCUAUUGUGGGACUUCUCAGCCUCUCUAACAGAAUGGAGAAGGUUGGUGUCCCACAUCCUGAAUGAAGAAAUGGCAGCCCAAGAGCUUGAAUGACUGGCCAGGCUCUGAUGUCUACAUGGUAGAUAUGGGAUGGACCUAAUCACUCUGACUCCUGGCCCAGCAUUCUCCCCACACUCUAUGCUACAAGGAAAGCCCAGUGCAACGAUAGCAGGCCUUUUAUCAACUACAACUUAGACCCAAGGCUAGCAAUGGCACGAUCACCGAAAACCUCACAGAUGACGCCCAGUCAAACCACAGUCUGGGAACAGACCCCAGAAGUCCCCUUGCUGGCCCAAGCCUUCUCAAGUUCUUCAUCCCACAGAAGGAUUCUGUAAAAUCUAACCACAUUCAAUUCUUAAGAAACCAAGAUGAAAGAGUAUUUUCAUGCUAAAAGUUUAUUCUCACCGUGGGCAGAGAUGAAACCAUAUUUCUCUCUU